rnacentral:rRNA from 1 species
AUUGAACGCUGGCGGCAUGCUUUACACAUGCAAGUCGAACGGCAGCGCGGGCUUCGGCCUGGCGGCGAGUGGCGAACGGGUGAGUAAUACAUCGGAACGUGCCCAGUUGUGGGGGAUAGCUCGGCGAAAGCCGGAUUAAUACCGCAUACGACCUGAGGGUGAAAGCGGGGGAUCUUCGGACCUCGCGCUAUUGGAGCGGCCGAUGGCAGAUUAGCUAGUUGGUGGGGUAAAGGCCUACCAAGGCGACGAUCUGUAGCUGGUCUGAGAGGACGACCAGCCACACUGGGACUGAGACACGGCCCAGACUCCUACGGGAGGCAGCAGUGGGGAAUUUUGGACAAUGGGCGAAAGCCUGAUCCAGCAAUGCCGCGUGUGUGAUGAAGGCCUUCGGGUUGUAAAGCACUUUUGGCGGGAACGAAAAGGACUGUGCCAAUACCACGGUUCGAUGACGGUACCCGCAGAAUAAGCACCGGCUAACUACGUG